ACGGAAGGCAGCAGUGGGGGAUAUUGCACAAUGGGGGAAACCCUGAUGCAGCGACGCCGCGUGAGCGAUGAAGUAUUUCGGUAUGUAAAGCUCUAUCAGCAGGAAAGAUAAUGACGGUACCUGACUAAGAAGCACCGGCUAAAUACGUGCCAGCAGCCGCGGUAAUACGUAUGGUGCAAGCGUUAUCCGGAUUUACUGGGUGUAAAGGGAGCGUAGACGGUCUGGCAAGUCUGAUGUGAAAGGCAGGGGCUCAACUCCUGGACUGCAUUGGAAACUGUCAGUCUUGAGUGCCGGAGAGGUAAGCGGAAUUCCUAGUGUAGCGGUGAAAUGCGUAGAUAUUAGGAGGAACACCAGUGGCGAAGGCGGCUUACUGGACGGUAACUGACGUUGAGGCUCGAAAGCGUGGGGAGCAAACAGGAUUAGAUACCCUGGUA
rnacentral:rRNA from 1 species